rnacentral:rRNA from 1 species
ACCUGGUUGAUCCUGCCAGUAGUCAUAUGCUUGUCUCAAAGCUUAAGCCAUGCAAGUGUAAGUUCACGCCACGCAUUAGAACGGGCGAAACCGCGAAUGGCUCAGGAACCGGACCUAAUCCUCGGGACCGUAAUCCUCCUCGGAGGCGAUGGAUAACUGUGGCAAUUCUAGAGCUAAUACAUGUGACACAGGCCGCGAUCGGCCGUCGCGCCGUGGUCGCCUCGCCUCGCGCGCUGGCACCCGCGGCGGCCGUCUUGGGUCGCGGCGCUACAUAUUAGACUGAGACCGAUGCGCGAUUCCCGCCCUCCCGUCACGCCGCAGCCUCGCGGUUGUUGGUGUGCGGGGCCAAAGGACGGCGCGCUCCGCUUUGGUGACUCUGGAUAACUCACUGGUCGAUCGCACGGGCUUCCACGCCCGGCGACGGGUCCCUCGAGGGUCCGCCCUAUCAACUGUCGACGGUCGGUUAAGUGCCUACCGUGGUUACUACGGGUAACGGGGAAUCGGGGUUCGAUUCCGGAGAGGGAGCAUGCGAAACGGCUACCACAUCCAAGGAAGGCAGCAGGCGCGCAAAUUACCCACUCCCGGCACGGGGAGGUAGUGACGAAAAAUAACGACGCGGGACUCUGUCGAGGCCCCGCGAUCGGAAUGAGUACACUUCAAAUCCGUUAACGAGGACCAACCGGAGGGCAAGUCUGGUGCCAGCAGCCGCGGUAAUUCCAGCUCCGGUAGCGUAUAUUAAAGUUGUUGCGGUUAAAAAGCUCGUAGUCCGAACUCGGGUUCGUGGUCGCUCACGCGGCCCCGGGGCGGCGGCGCCAUCGUCCAUCGUUGACUUUGGUCGUCCGUUCGCAUUCCCGGCCCUUUCCGCCGGUGUCGAUCGCUAUAUAGACGGCCGCGGGUCAGCUGGCGCGAGGUGYGACUCUGCGUUCGGGUUCGGGGUCUGUGUCGUUCGUGUCUCGCGUUUCUCUCUCUCUUCCUCUCUUCCCGCUCGUCGGGAUCUGYGGGUCGGGUAAGGGUGCGCUUGACGUUCGUUCGGCGUUCUCCUCGUCCCUUUCGUGGGAUCCGGGCUCUCGGGCCCCCUCGCGUUCACGCCCUCGUGUCGCCGUCGGCGAUUUCUCCUCCAAGGGUGCUCUUAACCGAGUGUCCGCGGCGGCCGGUACGUUCACUUUGAAAAAAUUAGAGUGCUCAGAGCGGGCUGUUCAAGCUUGCAUACGAUAAGCAUGGAAUGAUGGAAGAGGGCCUCGUCUACGUCUGUCGGUCUCCGUCUACGGCGAGGCAAUGAUCGAAGGGAGCGGUCGGGGCCACUCGUAUUGCGACGUUAGAGGUGAAAUUCUUGGAUCGUCGCAAGACGAACUGCAGCGAUGGCGUGUGGCAAGCACGUUUUCCUCGAUCAAGAGCGAAAGUCGGAGGUUCGAAGACGAUCAGAUACCGUCGUAGUUCCGACCGUAAACGAUGCCGACCGGCGAUCCGCCGGCGUUCGCUUCCAUGACCCGGCGGGUAGCCUGCGGGAAACCAGAGUUCGGUUCCGGGGGGAGUAUGGUUGCAAAGCUGAAACUUAAAGGAAUUGACGGAAGGGCACCACCAGGAGUGGAGCCUGCGGCUUAAUUUGACUCAACACGGGAAAACUCACCCGGUCCGGACACCGGUAGGAUUGACAGAUCGAUAGCUCUUUCUCGAUUCGGUGGGUGGUGGUGCAUGGCCGUUCUUAGUUGGUGGAGCGAUCCGUCUGGUUGAUUCCGAUAACGAACGAGACUCCGGCCUGCUAACUAGUGCGCCGAUGUCAGUGCGGCGUCAUCCCGACGUCGUGUGCGGGCUCGUGGGCGAUUAUUUUUUAAUCGUCUCUUGCGUGUCCGGGUCGGUUUCUCACGCACUUCUUAGAGGGACGGGUGGCAGAAAGCCACACGAGGCGGAGCGAUAACAGGUCUGUGAUGCCCUUAGAUGUCCGGGGCCGCACGCGCGCUACACUGGAGGUAUCAGCGGGGACUUCGCCCCGGCCCGAGAGGGUCGGGAAACCUCUCAACCACCUCCCGUGAUAGGGAUCGGGGCCUGUAACCAACCCCGUGAACGAGGAAUUCCCGGUAGGCGCGGGUCAACAGCCCGCGUCGAUCACGUCCCUGCCCUUUGUACACACCGCCCGUCGCUACUACCGAUCGAACGGUCCGGUGAGGUCCUCGGAUCUGGCCGACGACGCCCAUCGGUGGGUCUCCUUUCGGGGUUUCUCGCCUCGGCGUUCGAUGCCUGGAGAAGACGACCGAACCCGAUCGUUUAGAGGAAGUAAAAGUCGUAACAAGGUUUCCGUAGGUGAACCUGCGGAAGGAUCAUUA